rnacentral:rRNA from 1 species
UACGGGGGGGAGCAAGCGUUGUUCGGAUUUACUGGGCGUAAAGGGCGCGUAGGCGGCGCAACAAGUCACUUGUGAAAUCUCCGGGCUUAACCCGGAGCGGUCAAGUGAUACUGUCGUGCUAGAGUGCGGAAGGGGCUACUGGAAUUCCUGGUGUAGCGGUGGAAUGCGCAGAUAUCAGGAGGAACACCGGUGGGCGAAGGCGGUUCUCUGGGCAUUACCUGACGCUGAGGAGCGAAAGCAUGGGGAGCGAACAGG